UAAAAGGCUCUUUUAAGAGCCACCCACAUAUUAGUAAAAGGCAAU
rfam:Danio rerio chromosome 25 genomic contig CTG2378, GRCz11 reference primary assembly.